rnacentral:rRNA from 1 species
UACGAAGGGGGCUAGCGUUGCUCGGAAUCACUGGGCGUAAAGCGCACGUAGGCGGAUCGUUAAGUCAGGGGUGAAAUCCUGGAGCUCAACUCCAGAACUGCCUUUGAUACUGGCGACCUUGAGUUCGGGAGAGGUGAGUGGAACUGCGAGUGUAGAGGUGAGAUUCGUAGAUAUUCGCAAGAACACCAGUGGCGAAGGCGGCUCACUGGCCCGAUACUGACGCUGAGGUGCGAAAGCGUGGGGAGCAAACAGG